CCUCUCUUCUCCGCAACUCGUUGCUUCUGCUCUCAGCUGGUCGCUGCUCACUGGCAGCUAUACGCGACGGUCACUCCGGUGGUUACUGCUCGAGAAUUCCUGCAACCGUACAACCGUACAACGUUACGGUGCCGAGCAUCAUCUGGGUCAAACAACACGUGCAGACUCGACACGCGAGGAUAGGUCAUCCUCAUAUGGUUUGUCUCGCUAACCUGGUGGGCUGCAAUGGGAAGAACGGCGCCGUCGACGAACGGGGCAAAGCCUGAGGUAAAUCUUGGAGGAUCGAGCCUGACGUCCAAAAGCUGUUCCAGGGAUCGAAGCCGGAGACACGGGGCUAUG